CAGGUCUUGACAUCCCGCUGACCGUUCUAGAGAUAGAUCUUUCCCUUCGGGGACAGCGGUGACAGGUGGUGCAUGGUUGUCGUCAGCUCGUGUCGUGAGAUGUUGGGUUAAGUCCCGCAACGAGCGCAACCCUUGAUCUUAGUUGCCAGCAUUCAGUUGGGCACUCUAAGGUGACUGCCGGUGAUAAACCGGAGGAAGGUGGGGAUGACGUCAAAUCAUCAUGCCCCUUAUGACCUGGGCUACACACGUGCUACAAUGGACGGUACAGAGGGUCGCAACCCCGCGAGGGUGAGCAAAUCCCAUAAAACCGUUCUCAGUUCGGAUUGUAGGCUGCAACUCGCCUACAUGAAGCCGGAAUCGCUAGUAAUCGUGGAUCAGCAUGCCACGGUGAAUACGUUCCC
rnacentral:rRNA from 1 species